rnacentral:rRNA from 1 species
GACAGAGGAUGCAAGCGUUAUCCGGAAUGAUUGGGCGUAAAGCGUCUGUAGGUGGCUUUUCAAGUCCGCCAUCAAAUCCCAAGGCUCAACCCUGGACAGGCGGUGGAAACUACCAAGCUGGAGUACGGUAGGGGCAGAGGGAAUUUCCGGUGGAGCAGUGAAAUGCAUUGAGAUCGGAAGGAACACCUGUGGCGAAAGCGGCUCACUGGACCAUUACUGACGCUGAGGCACGAAAGCUAGGGGAGCAAACAGG